GCUAGAUGGUGUGCGAGACACCCGAGACUAGACACGCUCCGGACGCGGGCAGCGAGAAGCGGCGAGGAGCGAGAGGAGGAGAGGCGGCGCGAGGAGCGGAGAGAGGCGGCAGAAGGCGAAGGCGAAGCCGGCACAGGCAGCAGCGGCGGCCGGACGAGAAGAGGCGACAGGCGACGAGCGAGUCCGGGACGCUCUGCCGCUCGCCCGGGACCUGAGGAGAAGAAGAAGGAGAGGAGGCGGAGGAGGCGACGACGAUUUCCCGCCCGCCCGCGCGCGCGCGCCUUUUUUUUUUUCUUCCUUUUUCCUUCUGAGGGGAGACGAGCCCAGAGCCCGACGCCGAGCCGGAGCGCAGCGCAGCUUCUCCCUCCGAAGCAGGCAUGGACAUGAUGCCUCUGGUCCAGGGCGCUUGUUGCUCCAACCAGUGGCUGGCCGCGCUGCUGCUGAGCCUCUGCUGUCUGCUGCCCUCCUGCCUGCCCGCCGGGCAAAGUGUGGACUUCCCCGGGACGGCCGUGGACAACCUGGUGGUCAGGAAAGGCGAGACGGCGGUGCUGAGGU